GAUACGACUAAUAAAAUGAUAAGGUAAAACAAGGGAAACUAGAUGACUCAUCAAGCGGAAGCAAAUAAUAAUUCAUGCUAAAGCAAAUAAAAUAUCAUCGACCUUAAUAGAAAUAUUGUCGGCUUCAUAAAUCCAAAAGCAUCAGGAUUCUUGUCAACAAAAACAAAGGGAGUAUAGCUAAAUAUUUACAAAGAUUCAUAUUGUUCAGGGUAGCACAGCAAAACGUGAUCAAACAAUAUGUAUGAAGACAUAUAGCUGAGAGUGACAAUCCUAAUUAAGUUCAAAUGAAAUAGUCUUCAACUAGUAUAGGAGCAUAAUACGGUACUCAAAAGUCG
rnacentral:lncRNA from 1 species